rnacentral:rRNA from 1 species
GAUGAACGCUGGCGGCGUGCCUAAUACAUGCAAGUCGAGCGGUAAGGCCACUUCGGUGGUACACGAGCGGCGGACGGCAGAGUAACGCGUAGGAAUAUACCUUGAAGUGAGGAAUAACUGCCCGAAAGGGUGGCUAAUACCGCAUAUGGUCUUCGGAUCAAAGCUUUUUAGCGCUUUGAGAAUAGCCUGCGUUCGAUUAGCUAGUUGGUAGAGUAAUAGCCUACCAAGGCGACGAUCGAUAGCUGGUCUGAGAGGAUGAUCAGCCUGACUGGAACUGAUACACGGUCCAGACUCCUACGGGAGGCAGCAGUAGGGAAUUUUCCACAAUGGGCGAAAGCCUGAUGGAGCAACGCCGCGUGCAGGAUGAAGGCCUUCGGGUUGUAAACUGCUUUUAUGUGCGAAGAAUUUGACGGUAACACAUGAAUAAGGGUCGGCUAACUACGUGCCAGCCGCCGCCGUAA